UAUUGCACUUGCUACCCUAGACAUUGAAAGUUUCCAAAUCAAUAAACAGUUAGCUGAAGUUGGCAGCGGAGCUAUUAAAAUAAAUAAGACAAGAAUUGCGAAGGAUAAAUAUGUUUAAAAUUACAUAAUCAUAUGAAAAUUUUAAAAAGUAUGGAUUUCGCAGUGUUUGGUUUAACUGAAGUAUUUGUUUUAGCUUUUCUAUUAAACAAAUUUUAAUCAGACUUGGACUAAACAAAUAUGUGAACAUAUAGUGUGGUGGUGUAAAAACGAUAGUGAUCAAAAAAAAGAUAUAAUACGACUUGUAUUGAGAAAGCAGACGUCGCAUAAUUUUAGCUUUAUAAAACAGAUGCGGUUGACGUGAAGGAAAAAGGGGCGUAUGCAGCUGCCGAGAACAUUAUGCUGUCCAGUCGAGUCCAGAGCCACAUCUAUCCAGCUCCGAUUAUCGGUAUUUUGUAGGUAAAUUUAGAGAGAGAUCAAGGAAUAACACUUUACAUACAGAAUUGCUUUGCUUCUAUGAUUCACUCGAUGACAAUGAUAAUUUAUACAAAAAAUAUAGAUGUUACUAAUAACCCCAAAAAAUAAUACUUAAACAUAGUAAGCCUUAUUUUCCUCUGUCUCUCUCUCUUGUUUAGUUAUCCUUAAAUUCACAAUAAUAGAAAAAUUUAGAUCGCUUUCACGAGUAAAGGCGUUUGCUUUAAUAUGGCUUUUUUAGAAGUGAUUGAGUUCGAAGUAACAAUUUUGCAUAUAUUUUUUUUUGGAUGCAAAGUGUUAUAACCUAUGUAUUAGGGGUUACUGCUUUAAAUCUCGUUUCGACACUUUUAUUAAUACCACUUUUAGAACGAUUGCAUUUUUUGGCAUGAAAAUACAUA